rnacentral:rRNA from 1 species
AUACGGAGGGUGCGAGCGUUGUUCGGAAUUAUUGGGCGUAAAGAGCAUGUAGGCGGUCUGUUAAGUCUGGUGUGAAAGCCCGGGGCUCAACCCCGGAAGUGCAUUGGAUACUGGCAGACUGGAGUAUGGGAGAGGAAAGCGGAAUUCCGAGUGUAGGAGUGAAAUCCGUAGAUAUUCGGAGGAACACCAGUGGCGAAGGCGGCUUUCUGGACCAAUACUGACGCUGAGAUGCGAAAGCGUGGGGAGCGAACAGGAUUAGAAACCCCAGUAGUCC